GCCCUAUAAGUUAUAACUCUAUCUUCAACAUACAAAUCCCUUCAUAUCCAACCAAAGCUUCCAUUUUCGCGAAGGUAGUUACAGUUGCAGACAUGGCAGCUUCACUCUCAUCCCUCACUUCCUCCUUCUCUUCACUCUCCUUCUCUUCUCACGUUUCCCAAAGACCCCACGCGCUCACGCUCCCUCCCUCGCGCGUCUCUAAAUCAACUACAUUCCCCUCCCUCGCUGUCUCUGCCUCUUCCGCCGCCGCUGCCGUUUCUCCGGCGGAGCCAGAAACUGUUGACCUCAGGCGCCUCGUCAAGUCCAGACUUCCCGGUGGAUUCGCCGCUCAAACCAUCAUUGGUACCGGUCGCCGGAAGUCUGCCAUAGCUCGUGUUGUUCUUCAAGAAGGAACCGGGAAAUUCAUCAUCAAUUACCGUGAUGCUAAGGAAUAUCUUCAGGGAAACCCAUUGUGGCUUCAAUACAUUAGGGUUCCCUUAAUAACUCUUGGAUAUGAAAAUAGUUACGAUGUUUUCAUCAAAGCCGAGGGUGGUGGCCUCUCUGGUCAAGCGCAAGCAAUUUCCCUCGGUAUUGCCCGCGCCCUGCUGAAGGUGAGUGAAGAUCACAGACAACCUUUGAGACAAGAAGGGCUUCUGACUAGAGAUUCUAGAGUGGUUGAAAGGAAGAAACCUGGUCUGAAGAAAGCUCGUAAAGCACCUCAGUAUUCCAAACGUUGAGGUCGAAAUCAUACAUGCCAAGCUUAUGCCUGUUAUAAAGGAAGGGUAUUAAUAACCUUGGCUCUCAUUUAUACGAACCACCAUGGGACUUUUGUCAAAUAUUUGCAAUUUUGCAUGAGUUUGUUAUUAUAUAUAAAGGUAGUAAGUUACCAUGCUUGUGGUGAGCAUAUGAAAUGCAUUCACUCACAUGAACAUUCUCUACUUACCAGCUUUAUAAGGCAUAUAGCCAUAUACUACACGGUCCUCGAUUAAAGGAUUUGAUUUGAUAAAUGGCAGGGAUCCUCAAUCUCAA